rfam:Glarea lozoyensis 74030 unplaced genomic scaffold M7I_scaffold10, whole genome shotgun sequence.
UUUGUAGCAUGGGCUUUAUCAUUUGUUGUAUAUAUUUUAAUCAAAUGGGAUUCUUUCUUCAGUGUUGCUGUGUCAGGUGGUGCGGAUUGGGAUUUUGCUUCUGUUUGACUAUCAAAUUCCGGUCGUAGGAUAGUGGCCUACCAUAUCUUCAACGGGUGAUGGGGAAUUAUGGGUUCUAUUCUGGAGAGGGAGCUUGAGAAAGGGCUAACAUAUCCAAGGAAGGCAGGAGGCGCGUAUAUUACCCUUUCCUGACACGGGGAGGUAGUGACAGUCAAUACUGAUAUAGGGCUCUUUUGCGUCUUGUAAUUAGAAGGAGUAUAAUUUAACUCUCUUGACGAGGAAGGGGUGGAGGAGAAUUCUGGUGGCAGUCGCCGUAGUAAUUUCAGCUGCAGUA